rnacentral:rRNA from 1 species
UACGGAGGGUGCAAGCGUUAUCCGGAUUCACUGGGUUUAAAGGGUGCGUAGGUGGCUUUGUAAGUCAGUGGUGAAAUACCGCAGCUCAACUGCGGAACUGCCAUUGAUACUGCUUAGCUCGAAUCAGGUCGAGGUGGAUGGAAUAUUACAUGUAGCGGUGAAAUGCUUAGAUAUGUAAUAGAACACCGAUUGCGAAGGCAGUUCACUAGGCCUGAAUUGACACUGAGGCACGAAAGCGUGGGGAUCAAACAGG